CGAAGGUGGCAAGCGUUGUUCGGAUUUACUGGGCGUACAGGGAGCGUAGGCGGUUGGAUAAGCCCUCCGUGAAAUCUCCAGGCUUAACCUGGAAAGUGCAGAGGGGACUGUUCAGCUAGAGGAUGGGAGAGGAGCGCGGAAUUCCCGGUGUAGCGGCGAAAUGCGUAGAGAUCGGGAGGAAGGCCGGUGGCGAAGGCGGCGCUCUGGAACAUUUCUGACGCUGAGGCUCGAAAGCGUGGGGAGCAAACAGGAUUAGAUACCCUGGUAGUCCACGCCUUAAACGAUGGAUACUAAGUGUCGGCGGGUUACCGCCGGUGCCGCAGCUAACGCAGUAAGUAUCCCGCCUGGGAAGUACGGCCGCAAGGUUGA
rnacentral:rRNA from 1 species